UAACACACCCAUUUAUUCUAGCAGUAUUACAGUACAUUACAUUUACAUUUUGUGUGUGUUUAUAUUCAUACAUACAAUUACAGUUGUAUUAUAAUGUACAUCUUGUUUUUUUUCUGUACAGUGUCACGAGUUUCGUUC